AUCUGCCUCCUUCCAUCUCAACCAUUAAAUCUCCUAUCCGACGAUAUUAAAUCUCUUAAGAUCUAAACUGUGCUUCACGUGCUUCUAAGAAAAUCAGGAGGAUCCUCUCCGGUUCCUCUUUAUGAGGAUCAUGGGAAUCCUUAAAUCGUGUUCGUUUAUUGUAUAUCGUGCGGUCAGUUUUCAUCAGAUACUAUUCAUAUUUAAUUUAAAAUAAAAGUAUUUAAAAUGAUUUCUGACCGAACAAUAUCUGAUGAACGGACACAAUUUGAGGAUCCCCAAGAUCCUCUCUGGUUCCUCUUUAUGAGGAUCCUGGGAAUCUUUAAAUUGUGUUCGUUCAUUGUAUAUUGGACGGUCAAUUUUUGUCAGAUACUAUUCAAAUUUAAUUUAAAAUAAAAGUAUUUAAAAUGAUUUUUGACCGAACGAUAUCUGAUGAAGGGACACAAUUUGAGAAUCCCCAGGAUCCUCACAAAGAGGAUCUGGAAAGGAUCCUCAUUCCUAAGAAAAGUAAGUCACUUUCUUUGUUUUAAAUUAGUGACAUCAGAGUGAAAUGUUUUAGGUUCAAUUCUUGUCAAAAGAGAAUUUGAACCAAGUUAUUGCUAGCUCAGUGUAAGGCUAAGGCCACCCUCCCCCUU
rnacentral:lncRNA from 1 species